CAGUCGCCGCGGGAAUACGUAGGUGGCAAGCGUUGUCCGGAAUUAUUGGGCGUAAAGGGCUCGCAGGCGGUUUCUUAAGUCUGAUGUGAAAGCCCCCGGCUCAACCGGGGAGGGUCAUUGGAAACUGGGAAACUUGAGUGCAGAAGAGGAGAGUGGAAUUCCACGUGUAGCGGUGAAAUGCGUAGAGAUGUGGAGGAACACCAGUGGCGAAGGCGACUCUCUGGUCUGUAACUGACGCUGAGGAGCGAAAGCGUGGGGAGCGAACAGGAUUAGAGACCCCUGUAGUCCCUGUCUCUUAUAC
rnacentral:rRNA from 1 species